AGCGAACGCUGGCGGCAGGCCUAACACAUGCAAGUCGAACGAAGUCUUCGGACUUAGUGGCGGACGGGUGAGUAACACGUGGGAACGUGCCUUUAGGUUCGGAAUAACUCAGGGAAACUUGUGCUAAUACCGAAUGUGCCCUUCGGGGGAAAGAUUUAUCGCCUUUAGAGCGGCCCGCGUCUGAUUAGCUAGUUGGUGAGGUAAAGGCUCACCAAGGCUACGAUCAGUAGCUGGUCUGAGAGGAUGGCCAGCCACAUUGGGACUGAGACACGGCCCAAACUCCUACGGGAGGCAGCAGUGGGAAUCUUGCGCAAUGGGCGAAAGCCUGACGCAGCCAUGCCGCGUGGAUGAUGAAGGUCUUAGGAUUGUAAAAUCCUUUCACCGGUGAAGAUAAUGACUGUAGCCGGAGAAGAAGCCCCGGCUAACUUCGUGCCAGCAGCCGCUGUAACAC
rnacentral:rRNA from 1 species